AUACGUAGGGUGCGAGCGUUGUCCGGAAUUACUGGGCGUAAAGAGCUCGUAGGUGGUUUGUCGCGUCGUCUGUGAAAUUCCGGGGCUUAACUCCGGGCGUUCAGGCGAUACGGGCAUAACUUGAGUACUGUAGGGGAGACUGGAAUUCCUGGUGUAGCGGUGAAAUGCGCAGAUAUCAGGAGGAACACCGGUGGCGAAGGCGGGUCUCUGGGCAGUAACUGACGCUGAGGAGCGAAAGCAUGGGUAGCGAACAGGAUUAGAUACCCUGGUAGUCCAUGCCGUAAACGGUGGGCGCUAGGUGUAGGGGUCUUCCACGACUUCUGUGCCGUAGCUAACGCAUUAAGCGCCCCGCCUGGGGAGUACGGCCGCAAGGCUAAAACUCAAAGGAAUUGACGGGG
rnacentral:rRNA from 1 species